rnacentral:lncRNA from 1 species
UGAAGAAGACCAAAUCUCAGCGUUAGUCUGUUCCUACUAUGACAACCUCUUCACUGCAAAUCAAAGAGGAGAAAUUUCUUCAACGAUCUCCCAAGCGCUCAAGCCCUGUGUAACUCAGGAAUGGAACGAGCUGCUUACCAGAGACCCAUCACCGGCUGAAAUAAAAGAAGCACUCUUUGCAAUCCACGCAGAUAAGGCUCCCGGGCCUGACGGGUUCUCAGCAAGUUUCUUCCACUCAAAUUGGGAGACCAUCGGCCAAUCGAUCAUCACUGAGAUCCAAGAGUUCUUCUCCACGGGCGUAUUGUCACCAACAUUGAAUGUGACUCAUGUUAGGCUGAUCCCUAAGACAUUAGGAGCGAAAAGAGUGGAUGAAUACCGACCUAUAGCUUUGUGCAAUGUGUACUAUAAAGUCAUCUCUAAGCUCCUAUCCUUGCGCCUGAAACCCAUACUUUGCUCCAUAAUCUCAGAGAACCAAUCCGCUUUUAUUCCUGGAAGGGCAAUAACAGAUAAUGUUCUAAUUACGCAUGAGGUACUGCAAUUUCUCAAGACUUCACAAGCUAAAAAACAGUGUGCAAUGGCAGUCAAGAUGGAUAUGUCAAAGGCCUACGACAGAGUGGAAUGGGAGUUCAUAGCUCAAGUAAUGAAACGCCUAGGUUUUCAUGAAAAAUGGAUCAAUUGGAUCAUGCAGUGUAUCACAUCGGUUUCCUACUCCUAUCUGAUAAAUGAUUCAGUCUAUGGUCUGGUCAAACCUCACCGUGGAAUCAGGCAAGGAGAUCCGAUCUCGCCGUACUUGUUCAUCCUAUGCGGAGAGGUCCUCUCAGGCCUUUGCAGAAAAGCGGAGUUAGAAGGAUCAAUGCGGGGAGUUCGAGUUGCUAGAGGCUGCCCCCGAGUCAAUCAUCUACUUUUUGCUGACGAUACAAUGAUUUUCUGCAACUCAACUUCAGAAAGCUGCCUAGCCUUACUACGGAUA